rnacentral:rRNA from 1 species
ACGGGGCCCGCACAAGCGGUGGAGUAUGUGGUUUAAUUCGACGCAACGCGCAGAACCUUACCUGGUCUUGACAUCCCGAGUAAUUUCCUGGAAACAGGAAAGUGCCUCGCAAGAGGAACUUGGUGACAGGUGCUGCAUGGCUGUCGUCAGCUCGUGUCGUGAGAUGGUUGGGUUAACGUCCCGCAACGAGCGCAACCCUUGUCUUUAGUUGCCAUCAUUAAGUUGGGCACUCUAAAGAGACUGCCGGUGUCAAACCGGAGGAAGGGUGGGGAUGACGUCAAGUCCUCAUGGCCUUUAUGACCAGGGCUACACACGUACUACAAUGGCAGGUACAAAGGGCAGCCACUUAGCGAUAAGGAGCGAAUCCCGUAAAACCUGUCUCAGUCCGGAUUGGAGUCUGCAACUCGACUCCAUGAAGUUGGAAUCGCUAGUAAUCGCAGAUCAGCACGCUGCGGUGAAUACGUUCCCGGGCCUU